GAAAGUAAUUUGUGACAUCUGUGAGCCAAUUGAUCACCAGGGUUGAAUCAGCUGAUCUAGCUGACUAGACAUGUGUCCCUGUGUCCUGCCAACUAUUCAUGUGCACAUCUCCCAAACUUCCACGUUCUGACAAGAAGCAGAGUCUUCCCUGACAGAGAACAGUCUCCUUCUGCUGCAACCUCCAAAUAAGCUCCCUAUGUGAGAAAGGGCUAANGAUGUGUAUUUUCACAGAUUAUUUUAUCAGUGACUGAAGCCUAAGUACUGGUAUUAGCUUAUAUCCUCAUGAUUUUAAAAUAUAGGAUAUAUAUAUGACAAACACAUAUCCUUUAUUUUAAUAUAUACAUGUAUAUCCUGUAAUUUUA
rfam:Neotoma lepida isolate 417 scaffold_22033, whole genome shotgun sequence.